AAAUAAUCUCCUCCAUAAUAACUACCCGCAUGAAGGACGGUGAAUCCGUCACGGGCCACAUGCAAAAGAUGCAAAGGUAUGUGGACCGUUUGCUGAAGCUGAAUGUUAACAUCCCCGAGGAGUUAGCAAUUGACAUCAUUUUGCACUCCUUGCCUUCUUGUUAUGAUCAUUUUCGAAUGACAUAUCAUAUGAACAAGGAGGAAGUUACCCUCAGCAAGCUUCAAGNUUGAUGAAGCUAAAUGUGAACAUCCCUGAGGAGUUGGCAAUUGACAUCAUUUUGCACUCCUUACCUUCUUGUUAUGACCAAUUUCGUAUGACAUUUCAUAUGAAUAAGGAGGAAGUUACCUUCAACAAGCUUCAAGGACUCUUGAAGACCGCGGAAACCGGUCUUAAGGGCAAGGCAGUUGUUACCUCUACUACUCCUACUCCAACAUCUACCCCUGUUUUGGCUAUCGGGCAAGGCAAAGGGAAAAAGAGGAAGCACCCUUCGAAGGGUACCAAGGGAAAGUCUCUUGAAGGCUCCUCAUCCAAGACUAAGAACGGUUCUGUCACUCCUUC
rnacentral:lncRNA from 1 species